GGAUGAGGGCAUCCAGUCUUUUCCCCAGGCAAUUCUACUAUGUCGGCAACACAAUGACUUGGACGAAUGCACAGAGCUACUGCAAAGAAACAUAUACAGAUCUAGUUUUUGUGUAUAGUGAGGAUGACAUUGACCACCUGAACCAAAUUACUCCCACCGUAUACUCCUAUAGUCUCCCCAUGUGGAUAGGGGGCUUUAGUUUGAUUGAUGAUUCAGAAAACGUUACUGACAUUACAGAUAAUUACUGCUUGGCAAUAAACAUGUUUUCCAAGAAACUGAGCAAAAAGAGUUGCACCAAUGCGUAUCCGUUUUACUGUAGCAGAGAUGAAGGCCGAAAGGUGCUGUUGCGAAUAAAAGUGGCAUCUGACAAAUUUCUCACAGAUCCUGCAAUGAAGGCAAACAUCUUAACUAAGAUCAAGAAUAAAGUUGACGAGCAAACGUUUGGCAAUGUUAUCAGAACAGUGUGGAGCACAAAGCAGGAUUUCCAUCGAAAUGAUAUUAAGAUAGCAAAUGCAACCUGCCCAUAGCCAAAACAUGGCUUUUCAAAUAGUUUUUCAAAAAUAUCACUGCAUAUAAUGUCAUGCAAUGGCAAAUAAUGUCCUUCCUUAUACUGUAUAACGUACAUGUUUAUAAAUUUACUGUAGUGAGUGAUUUAGGUUUAAGCAAAACUGAAUAAAU